AUUGAACGCUGGCGGAAUGCUUUACACAUGCAAGUCGAACGAUGAACCUUAGCUUGCUAAGGGGAUUAGUGGCGAACGGGUGAGUAAUAUAUCGGAACGUGCCUUGUAAUGGGGGAUAACUAGUCGAAAGAUUGGCUAAUACCGCAUACGCCCUGAGGGGGAAAGUAGGGGAUCUUCGGACCUUACGUUAUAAGAGCGGCCGAUAUCUGAUUAGCUAGUUGGUGGGGUAAUGGCCUACCAAGGCGACGAUCAGUAGCUGGUCUGAGAGGACGACCAGCCACACUGGAACUGAGACACGGUCCAGACUCCUACGGGAGGCAGCAGUGGGGAAUUUUGGACAAUGGGCGAAAGCCUGAUCCAGCCAUUCCGCGUGAGUGAAGAAGGCCUUCGGGUUGUAAAGCUCUUUCGCAAGGGAAGAAAACUUACAUUCUAAUAAAGUGUGAGGCUGACGGUACCUUGAUAAGAAGCACCGGCUAACUACGUGCCAGCAGCCGCGGUAAUACGUAGGGUGCGAGCGUUAAUCGGAAUUACUGGGCGUAAAGCGUGCGCAGGCGGUUUGGCAAGUCAGAUGUGAAAUCCCCGAGCUCAACUUGGGAACUGCGUUUGAAACUGCCAGACUAGAAUAUGUCAGAGGGGGGUAGAAUUCCACGUGUAGCAGUGAAAUGCGUAGAGAUGUGGAGGAAUACCAAUGGCGAAGGCAGCCCCCUGGGAUAAUAUUGACGCUCAUGCACGAAAGCGUGGGGAGCAAACAGG
rnacentral:rRNA from 1 species